rnacentral:misc_RNA from 1 species
GAUGAAGAACGUAGCGAAAUGCGAUACGUAAUGUGAAUUGCAGAUUUCAGUGAAUCAUCGAAUCUUUGAACGCACAUUGCGCCCGCCAGUAUUCUGGCGGGCAUGCCUGUUCGAGCGUCAUUUCAACCAUCAAGCCUUCGCUUGUGUUGGGGCCCCGCGGCUGCCGCGGUCCCCUAAAUCCAGUGGCGGGCUCGUCGUCGUACCGAGCGCAGUAGACAUCCUCGCUCCGGGAACCCGACGGGUGCCGGCCGUGAAACCCCCCACAUCAAGGUUGACCUCGGAUCAGGUAGGAAUACCCGCUGAACUUAAGCAUAUCAAUAAGCGGAGGA